rnacentral:rRNA from 1 species
ACGUACUAACGAUAUUGAUUUCUCCCUUCUGACGAACCGUGAUGUCAUUAAUUUGGUGUUACGGGAAGUUAGGACUGUUACUUUGAAAAAAUUAGAGUGUUUAAAGCAGGCAAUCGCUCGAAUACAUUAGCAUGGAAUAAUGAAAUAGGACGUUCGAACCUAUUUUGUUGGCUUCUAGGAUCGACGUAAUGAUUAAUAGGGAUAGUUGGGGGCAUUAGUAUUCAAUUGUCAGAGGUGAAAUUCUUGGAUUUAUUGAAGACUAACUACUGCGAAAGCAUUUGCCAAGGAUGUUUUCAUUAACCAAGAACGAAAGUUAGGGGAUCGAAGACGAUCAGAUACCGUCGUAGUCUUAACCAUAAACUAUGCCGACUAGGGAUCGGAUGAUGUUAAUUUUUUUAAUGACUCAUUCGGCGCCUUACG